rnacentral:rRNA from 1 species
AACGUAGGUGGCGAGCGUUGUCCGGAAUUAUUGGGCGUAAAGAGCUCGUAGGCGGUUUGUCGCGUCUGCCGUGAAAGUCCGGGGCUCAACUCCGGAUCUGCGGUGGGUACGGGCAGACUAGAGUGAUGUAGGGGAGACUGGAAUUCCUGGUGUAGCGGUGAAAUGCGCAGAUAUCAGGAGGAACACCCGUAGCGAAGGCGGCACUCUGGGCCGAUUCUGACACUGAGGAGCGAAAGCGUGGGGAGCGAACAGG